rnacentral:rRNA from 1 species
GAUGAACGCUAGCGGCAGGCUUAAUACAUGCAAGUCGUGGGGCAGCAUGAGUGUAGCAAUACAUUUGAUGGCGACCGGCAAACGGGUGCGGAACACGUACACAACCUUCCUUCAAGUGGGGAAUAGCCCAGGGAAACUUGGAUUAAUACCCCGUAAUAUUAUGGAGUGGCAUCACUUUAUAAUUAUAGCUCCGGCGCUUGAUGAUGGGUGUGCGCCUGANAGGUAGUUGGCGGGGUAACGGCCCACCAAGCCUUCGAUCAGUAACUGGUGUGAGAGCACGACCAGUCACACGGGCACUGAGACACGGGCCCGACUCCUACGGGAGGCAGCAGUAAGGAAUAUUGGUCAAUGGACGCAAGUCUGAACCAGCCAUGCCGCGUGGAGGAUGAAGGUCCUCUGGAUUGUAAACUUC